GGGAGUGUACCCAAGUGGCCAAAGGGGGCAGACUGUAAAUCUGUUGUCGACGACUUCGGUGGUUCAAAUCCACCCGCUCCCACCA
rnacentral:tRNA from 1 species